rnacentral:rRNA from 1 species
CCUACGGGUGGCAGCAGUGAGGAAUAUUGGUCAAUGGCCGGAAGGCUGAACCAGCCAUGCCGCGUGAAGGUCAGUGCCCUAUGGGCGUUAAACUUCUUUUGUGCGGGAGCAAUAAUGGUCACUUGUGCCCAGACGAGAGUACCGUACCAAUAAGCAUCGGCUAACUCCGUGCCAGCAGCCGCGGGCAUACGGGGGAUGCAAUCGUUAUCCGGGUUGUUUGGGUUGAAAGGGUGCGUAGGCUGUGAGGUAAGUCAGCGGGGAAAUGCCCCCGCUCAACGGGGUGAAGUGCCAUUGAUACUGCCUUGCUGGAAUGCGGAUGCGGUGGGAGGAAUGUGUGGUGUAGCGGUGAAAUGCAUAGAUAUCACACAGAACACCGAUUGCGAAGGCAUAUGACGAAUCCGCGAUUGACGCUGAUGCGCGAAAGCGUGGGUAUCAAACAGGAUUAGAUACCCCGGUAGUC